UCCGCCUUGGUGUAAUUGGCAGCACGAGGGUUUUUGGUACCUUUAGUCUAGGUUCGAGUCCUGGAGGCGGAG
rnacentral:tRNA from 1 species